UACGAAGGGGGCUAGCGUUGCUCGGAUUGACUGGGCGUAAAGGGCGCGUAGGCGGUUCGUACAGUCAGACGUGAAAUUCCUGGGCUCAACCUGGGGGCUGCGUUUGAUACGUGCGGACUUGAGUGCGGAAGAGGGUCGUGGAAUUCCCAGUGUAGAGGUGAAAUUCGUAGAUAUUGGGAAGAACACCGGUGGCGAAGGCGGCGACCUGGUCCGAUACUGACGCUGAGGCGCGAAAGCGUGGGGAGCAACAGG
rnacentral:rRNA from 1 species